rnacentral:rRNA from 1 species
AUUGAACGCUGGCGGCAGGCCUAACACAUGCAAGUCGAGCGGAUGAAGGGAGCUUGCUCCUGGAUUCAGCGGCGGACGGGUGAGUAAUGCCUAGGAAUCUGCCUGGUAGUGGGGGAUAACGUCCGGAAACGGGCGCUAAUACCGCAUACGUCCUGAGGGAGAAAGUGGGGGAUCUUCGGACCUCACGCUAUCAGAUGAGCCUAGGUCGGAUUAGCUAGUUGGUGGGGUAAAGGCCUACCAAGGCGACGAUCCGUGACUGGUCUCAGAGGAUGAUCAGUCACACUGGAACUGGGACACGGUCCAGACUACUACGGGAGGCAGCAGUGGGGAAUAUUGGACGAUGGGCGAGAGCCUGAUCCAGCCAUGCCGCGUGUGUGAAGAAGGUCUUCGGAUGGUAAAGCACUUUAAGUUGGGAGGAAGGGCAGUAAGUUAAUACCUUGCUGUUUUGACGUUACCGACAGAAUAAGCACCGGCUAACUUCGUG